rnacentral:rRNA from 1 species
GAUGAACGCUGGCGGCGUGCUUAACACAUGCAAGUCGAACGAUGAAGCCCAGCUUGCUGGGUGGAUUAGUGGCGAACGGGUGAGUAACACAUGAGUAACCUGCCCUUAACUCUGGGAUAAGCCUGGGAAACUGGGUCUAAUACCGGAUAGGAGCGUCCACCGCAUGGUGGGUGUUGGAAAGAUUUAUCGGUUUUGGAUGGACUCGCGGCCUAUCAGCUUGUUGGUGAGGUAUUGGCUCACCAAGGCGACGACGGGUAGCCGGCCUGAGAGGGUGACCGGCCACACUGGGACUGAGACACGGCCCAGACUCCUACGGGAGGCAGCAGUGGGGAAUAUUGCACAAUGGGCGCAAGCCUGAUGCAGCGACGCCGCGUGAGGGAUGACGGCCUUCGGGUUGUAAACCUCUUUCAGUAGGGAAGAAGCGAGAGUGACGGUACCUGCAGAAGAAGCACCGGCUAACUACGUG